rnacentral:lncRNA from 1 species
CAGGUGCUGAGCAUGUGGGACAGAUGCUGCUGGCUAGCUUCCCCAACAGCUAUUUCAACCUCUUUCCCUUGCCUAUUUCUCUUACUACAGAGGCUAAAAAUAAGCGAAGAAAAAAAAAUCCCUUUCUCAGCCACCAAGGAGAGGCUCCGUUCUGGCCAAUGAGCCACAAAGGGAAAGCCUUCUGUGGGAUCGUCUGACAAGGACAGAGUCUUCUGGAAGCGUCCCUACCUCACAGCUGCGCAGAUGGUGCUGCACAGUGAGUGAUAGAUGCACUGCGUGUGACCACGGAGAGUCAGGGGUACAGAAGAAUGAAUGGAAGAAGCCAUGGCUGCUCAUUUCUGCUUGACCCUCUGACUCUGGGAGGACGUGCAGGUCUCCAGGAAAAUGCCUUGAAGACACAACAAAGCCGAGUAUACAGCCCCCCCAGGUCUCCUGCCUGAGUCACUACAUUCCUUAAGAGAUACAUGACCCUAGUCUUUGCCUUUUCUUCCGUAUGAGAUAAAGUCUGACAGGUUGGUGAUGACGCUUCUGUAAUCUAUAACACGCUGUACUCUUACACCCAAAGCUCGAUGUAUUCUGCUUGUAGCGUCUGAGCAAGUGUGAUGUGAUUUUCCAUGUACUGAACCUCCACCGCCUAUAUAACAAGCUGUGGGCUGAAAUCCUGUGUGGGACCUCAGUAAGACUUCCGAGUAAAACUAACUUUAAUUCUUGAAAAGCUUGGUUUAUCUUCUUCAUUUGACAGUUUCAGGAACAAGAGAAAGUCCCUGCAGAAUUUCAAGCAGGAGCAACUCAUGAUACAGUUUUUAAAAAGUGUCACAUGGUCAGGGAUGGGGUAGGAUGGUGGCAGGGAGAGAGAGGGGUGGGCAUAACUGUCAAAUGACUACAGGAGGGAUCCUUGUGGUGAUGGAACUGUUCAGAACCUUGACUGUAUCAGUGUCAAUAUCCUGGUUGUGAUCCCAGUAUUUUGCAAGAUGUUAUUACUGGGGGGAACUGGGUAACACAGCAUCUCUAUUAUGUCUUACAACUGUAUGCAAAUCUAUAAUGAUGUCAAAAUUAAAAGUUGAAUUUUUU